UCGGGGGUGAAGUCUGGCUCCCGUAGGAGUCCGGACGAAGUCUUCUUGUGGUUGAAGUCGGGGGCGAAGUCCGGCUCCCGUAGGAGUUUGGACGAAGUCUGCCUGCAAGUGAAGUCGUGGGUGGAGUCCGGCUCCCGUAGGAGUCCGGACGAAGUCUACAAGGUGGUUGAUCAUUGUGGAAACUUGGGUGGAGUCCGUCCGUCGCGAAGAAUCCGACCGACACUGAUGGGGGCUUAUCCAUCGGCAAAACUUGGGAGUGUUGCAGAGGCUCG
rnacentral:lncRNA from 1 species